UGAAGCUGUGAACCUGGGGCCGCCGAAGUGGAGCGCACAAACUUAACCACUGCUCCGCCAGCCAGCCCCUCAUCAGAACUUCUGACUCCAGUUCAAUACCACACGCCCUGGACCACACUCUCUGCCAGCAGCUGUGUUUCUUGAGUACUGGGUGCUUGCUGUGUUGACCGAGGACAGGUUUUUACCUUGGGGGUCUACAAAUGGGUUUCAGGAGUCUACGAGCCCCCGAAAUGAUAUAACCCAAAUUUGAUGAGUACAUAUAUACUUUGUAAAGGGCAGGGGGAGUCUAGAGUUUUCAUCAGAUCUUCAGAGCAGUGUGAUGACCACCAAAUGUAGGAAAUGACUGGUUUACAUGAGUAAUCCAGAUAUUUCAGGUAAAAACCAUCUAUUUGGGAGCAUGCCGCUUAGCAUCUGCCCUCACCAGAGAUGCUGUUAGGGGCAGAGCUGACUGUUCAGUGAUGUUUGUUUUGUUACUAUGGGCAACCGGUUUAUGUCGCCCCAAAUCGAAAGUGGGUUUCCUGACACAAAUGACGCACUUUGGAGGCAAGCUUUGAGGACUAAACAGAGAAGUUACUGAAUUACUUUGGGGCCGAGUGAAGCACAGGUUUGGUGAGAAUGUCCUGCCUUCUAGAAGGUGACCCUUUAUCCUCUCUCCAUGUGCAACCAGAUUCCAAGAACCAGGUCUAAAAGGAGAAUGCGGCUUCUGCCUUCCACGUUUCAGGCGACCCUGGGCUUGGGAGAAGACCCAGAAAGAGCAGGGAGGCACAGGAAGCGGGACUCCCCUCUGUUUCUCUGCCCAGCUGUUCUGUCCUGUUCCAGCUGAGACUGAAGUCCGUAGGCAGCCACAUGUUUCAGAUUGAGCUAACUCCUCGCUGCCCUUAAAGGUGGCAGCACCAACUCAAGACUGCUGCCCCGCCGUCCUGGCUGUUAGCUGGGACUCAGAUUCCCCCAGGGCGCUCAACCGUCAUCUAUAGCUCCAGCUUUGGAGGCAACAAAGAAUUACGGAGAACCUGAGCCAGUGUCCUGCUUGCAGCCUGGAGGGUGUAUGAUGGCAAAGAGUGAAAGAGGAGAGCAGGAAUUCGGGACUCGGCAGUUUACGUAAAAUUCAAUGAUUGGACUUUGGUGGGAAUUCACACUCUGAAUUGAAAGCAGCUUCUCUGGCCUCUUGACCUCGCCAUGCCUGAGGCAGCUGUAGGAAGGGGUGGAGGGCAAGUAAAGGAAGAGCAGAGAGGAACCAGAGGCAGGAGUGCGCUUUUCCUUCAGAACUUGGCUUCUCUCUCUGCAAGAUUCACAGGCUGAAGCUGUUUCUCUCCCUCCGGAGGGCAUCAUGCUGACUCCUCCCUCCGUCCAUCCUCGUCCUCCAUCCCAUGCGGUCCACCCCCACCGCUCCCCUGUCCCCCCGACCCUCCUGCACUUCCCGAGUUCAGUUGUAAAACUCCAUUCUCCCCUGGGUGUCCCCAUGCUCACCCCUGACCCCAACUGAGUUCUCCAUGAAGCAGCCAGAGUAUCCUGUCCAGGUGACAAAUCUGACAAUGUCCCUCACCUGCUUAAAACCCUCAGUGGCUCCCUUUCCCUCUUAGGAUAAAGUACAAAACCUCUACACCAUCCAGCAGCUGCCUCUCACUGUUGCCUUGCCAUCCCCUCAAUCUGCCCCAGCCACUCUGACUUGGUUCCAUUCCUGGAAGGGCUGUGCUGCCUCCUGGCUCAGGGCCUUUGCACCAACUGUUCUCUCUGCCUGGAUGCCCUUCCCCUCUCUUUCACCCAAUUAGUUCCCACUCUUUCUUAGGAUCUAGCUCAUCUGUCCUUCUUUACAAAUUCUUACAAAUAACCUUCAUUGCCCUUAUCACAGUUCAACUUACGCCUGUGGGAGCGUUUGAUUGACAGUUGUCCUCCCAACUAGACCACAAGCUCCGUGAGGGCAGGGAGGGACCAUGUCUGUUUCCCUCACCACUGAAACCCCAUCACCAGCCACAGGCCCUGGCUGAGUCUCACCUCCUCCUCCAGAUCCCGUUCAAACAUCUCUGAGAGGCCCUCUCGGGCUCCCCGCUUUGUCAGUCCAUGAACCAGAGUGGACCACUACCACGCAUUUAUGGUGCCUCGCUGCAACAAUUUGCUCAUGUGUCUCUCUCAGCCACAGUGUGUGGACUCCGGGAGGGCUGGAACCACUGCUUUUGUUGUGUUUGUAUCCCCGACACCCAGCACAGUGCUUGGCCUGCAGGGGCCGCUGUGUGAAUAAAUGCAUCAUGGUAAAGACAGCUCCCUGGGCCGGGGUGUGAUCCUCCGUGAACUGAGCGGCUGGACCACAGGAUUCUGUGUGUCCUUUCUCUCACACUCUGGCUCCCACAUCACAUAACCCUGCCCGUCAGCGCCUCUCUGCUUUGUCACCCAUGUGCUUUAACAGUUGCCCUGGCAAUCAGCAAACCUCCUGCCACCACAGGUCCUGUGUUUCGCUCUGCAAAGAAAGCCUCACACCUCAGGCUUUCUAUACAUUAUGCAAAAAUAAGCCGUUUUAAUAGCUCC